UGGCCGCUUUAAAAUCUAAAAAAACAAAUAAAGCUGUCAAAUACAAAUUUUGGAGUCAUUCCCAAUUUGUUGUUGGUUUAGUUUAGUCACAUUAUUUAUUUAAAAUCUCCUGUGGUGUUAAACAUGCCUGUUUACUACGGCGGGUUCGUAGGAGGUCCACAAGGGGGAGGAUAUUGCCUGUACUCUUAUCAGUGUAACCCCACUACAGGUGGCUGUGGUCCAUGUGUUCAACCCCCUGGGCCUUGCUGUCCCUUGUCAUGCUAAUCCGCAUGCAGUCCCAAACAAAUUCGACCUGCCAACCAGUCAAAUAACAUAUCGUCGUAAAAGUCGUCUCAUCUGAUUUUGAUGUGUUACAAUAAAAUGUUGACCUUUU